GCCACAUGGCUGCACUGUCUCUGAGAGACCAUAAAAAACCCGAGCAGGCUGCUGGCACUUGAGUUCUUUACUGGAUUCCUGAAUUUGGUCUCUCGGAAGAAUGGAGACAUCUCAUGAUUUCUAAAGCUGAAUACCACAUUUUUAAAAUCCACCAGGGAAUGACGGCAGGUUUGUCCCCUUUGUGGAAAUAUCCAGGAGGGUUCGUGUUCUGUUCCAGGGGAUUUGCUGGGAGAGGUUUCACUACAACAAGAUCCAGAUGGAGUCACCUCAGUGGAAAAAAACAACCGGGUCCCCUUUAAAAGGCGACUCCUUGGUGCAUUAUGAAAGCCGGCGUGCUGGUUAGCGAUCUGAUUGAAGAUAGCCAUGAGUCACUUAUACAAGCAUGAUUCACCUGAAGUCUAAAGUACAGGAAGAGGAACAUGCAAAUAAAAUGGGCAAAAAGGCAAAGUCCCAAAGGAAAAGGAACCAGAACCCAGGGCUGCAGAAUCUGGAAUGUAUUGCUAAGGCACAUCCGGGCUUCCAAAGCCUGAGGACUCUGCACUGGCUGCCUCCCACAUUCCUAGCCACACACUAUGCAGGUGGGCAUUUAUGGUCUGAGCAGGGACAAAGAGGAGCCUAGCUUGUCCACACAGGGGAUUUGGGCCUCCAGUGAGGUCUCAUGUAGUUCACCGUCACUCUGGUGUGAAUGUUAAUACUAGAGUUGGGAGAAAGUGAAGGGUUUGGGGUUGUUUUUUUUUCAUGCCAUCUCAAGCAAAUCAUAUCUCCAAUCUCUACCUGGAAAUGUUGCUUUUCCAUGAAAUUUCAGCCCAACUAAUGUGUUUUCCCCCUCCCCCCGAAUCAUGCAAAAGCACAAGAAGCCACCUGUGUGUGGAAUUCUGCACAGACGCAGAAGCGAGACAGCGGUUACCGUUGGAACGUUUCCUUUGCACGGAGGGCCCACCAAUGGGAGUAAGGCUUAGGCAAUCUAGCUCUUCCUGGGCCAAAUUCACCACAGUGACUCUGUUGACUUCAACAGGCUACUGCAGAUUUACACCUGAGUGAACUAAGAGCCACGUUUGGCCCAUUAUGUAUACAUACCUCUGACUACACACAUACAUUUGGCAUGUGAUGGAGACGUAUGGGUUGCUUCACCUUAUUCUGGGGACCAGCCUGCUCCUGUCAGCUCCUGGCUGAGGGGAUCACAGAGGUGGCUUAAAGACAUUUUGCUCCUCCACCUCAUCCUGCCCUGUGCAUAGCUUAGUGGGAGCAAAGGCACUGGCCCUUUGUAUUUAAUGGCUCGCCUGGUAAAUGAGCUCUUCCUUGGCAAUUGAAGCAGGUUGUUUUAAUGGAGACAUCACUCCAGACAAAGACUUGGCCAUCUGUUCAGUCUCCCCAACACAUGCUCCACCCACCCACAGUUCACAAUUUCGCUACACAAAGCCAAAGGCAGGUGGGGAGGGAACCCAUAUGAGAGCUGCUGAUGUGUACCUUGCUGGGAAUCAUGAGGCCUUUAACAGGUGAGUGGGAGCCCAGCAGAAAUGGCUAGCACCGUCCCAGCAACCUCACCCCCCACCCCAUCUCUUGAUUCGACUGUGCCUAAGAACCUCUCCGGCUUUAUUCACAUGCUGUGUUUUCCAGCUGAGGAGGAGUAUGGGUUCUGUAGAGUGGGGAAUGAGUCUAUUGACCCUCAGCUGAGUCACGGACCAAAGACAUUAAGGAUCACUGGAUUCGAUGCCUCAGGCAGCCCUCUGUUUAUUCAGUCAGCUGUGGUAAGAUUGUCAUCCAGCCAAACCCAAGCCCAGCAUACAAGAGGCAUUGCUGGGCAUCUGUGUUCAGCACACACCCUUCCCUGGACUUCCCACACAGAUUAGUCCUGCUAGAGCAAUCUGCGCAGGUAGGGGGUGUCGUUGCCUUUGCUAAUCCUGGAGGCAUUUAUGUGCAAUUAGAUUUACCUCGUCCUGAUCCCCUGGGAUGCUCCAUAAUCUCCUUGGGCUCUUACACAGAUCCCAUGCCUGCAGCCUCUCUGAAUGGAGAGAGUCUUUCAACAGCCCUGUGAGGCAGUGAAGUGCUAUCGCCCCCAAUCUACAGGUAGGAAACUGAGGCACACAGCGAGAGAUUAAGUGACUUUGCCUGAUUCUGUUGUCACACUGGUGUAAAUCACGAGUAGCUCCUCCAAAAUCAGUGGAGUCCCACCAGUGUGGAAGCAGAGCAGAAGAGGGCCCUUGUUUUAGUACUUAAUUUGUGAUUUGCAGGGGCGUAGGCUGUCUUGCUAAUCAAACUUAACAGGCACUUCUGUUCACAGCACUGAGCACUUGCUCACUGGUGCUGAUCCUGCCAGGAUGAGGGGAGCAGAGUUGGACCAUCCAUAGGCCUCCCUGAUCCUGCUGGGUUGUGCUGCUGUGGCACAGUGACCUGCUCCGAACGAUCUCUUAGCUAAAAGCAUCCUCCAAAUAUUGUAGGAGCUCAACAUUCGGGGUGCUGGAGAGCCCCUCUCACCCCCUGCCUUCCAGAGUCCCAUGUGGAGAUGGCAGCUCUGGGCUAGGCCCACUGACUAUGUAUUGAGCCAAACCUGCCCAGAAACACAGCGAAGUGAUGGCAAAACACCCACUCAGCCGAUCUCUGUGCAGACAGGAAAAUGCCACUGAGAUUCAUGGGCCAGAGCCUCAGCUGCUGACUUCAGUGGAGAUCCAGUGAUUUAUAUCAAGCCCCAUUAGUGCAGCUGGAACAGGAGCUGAGGAAUUGUCUCCGAUUAUGUGUACGUACAGCCCCUGGCACCGUGGGCCCCGAUCACAGCUAGGCCCUCUCGACACUACGAUACAAACCAUGAUGAUUAUGGAAUGAUGAACUAACUGGGCUUCACUGUGUGAAGGGGAAAUGCCAAUGACAUACACAAGAUGUUCUAAUCCAAGGGUUCUCACUACAAAUAUUUUGGUGGCCUCAGAAUGCAGCCACCAACUCUUGCUGGUGGCCGCUCUGACAAUUUUUCCUAAAAUACUUAAUUAACUUUAGGAAAAACAAAUAAAUAUGCACAUACACAUACCCAAAUCAUUGUAAUUUGUCUACGUAGGGUUGUUGGUUUUUUUGCAGACUCAAUAAUAAAAAUAAUGUACAAUU